rnacentral:snoRNA from 1 species
CCAGACGGGUGCUUUUUCAGUCUGCCACAGAAACAUUCCGGGGACUGCGACUAUCUUGACCUGUGCAGGGUGACGCAGCUGCCCGGGGACAUGGUG